rnacentral:rRNA from 1 species
UGAGGAAUAUUGGUCAAUGGGCGUAAGCCUGAACCAGCCAAGUCGCGUGAAGGAUGACUGCCCUAUGGGUUGUAAACUUCUUUUGUAAGGGGAGAAUAAAUUCUACGUGUAGGAUGAUGACAGUACCUUACGAAUAAGCAUCGGCUAACUCCGUGCCAGCAGCCGCGGUAAUACGUAGGGGGCAAGCGUUGUCCGGAAUGAUUGGGCGUAAAGGGCGCGUAGGCGGCCUGGUAAGUUUGGAGUGAAAGUCCUAUUUUUAAGGUGGGAAUUGCUUUGAAAACUGCUGGGCUUGAGUGCAGGAGAGGUUAGUGGAAUUCCCGGUGUAGCGGUGAAAUGCGUAGAGAUCGGGAGGAACACCAGUGGCGAAGGCGACUAACUGGACUGUAACUGACGCUGAGGCGCGAAAGUGUGGGGAGCAAACA